rnacentral:rRNA from 1 species
GACGAACGCUGGCGGCGUGCUUAACACAUGCAAGUCGAACGGAAAGGCCCUGCUUUUGUGGGGUGCUCGAGUGGCGAACGGGUGAGUAACACGUGAGUAACCUGCCCUUGACUUUGGGAUAACUUCAGGAAACUGGGGCUAAUACCGGAUAGGAGCUCCUGCUGCAUGGUGGGGGUUGGAAAGUUUCGGCGGUUGGGGAUGGACUCGCGGCUUAUCAGCUUGUUGGUGGGGGAGUGGCUUACCAAGGCUUUGACGGGUAGCCGGCCUGAGAGGGUGACCGGCCACAUUGGGACUGCGGUACGGCCCAGACUCCAACGGGAGACAGCAGUGGGGAAUAUUGCACAAUGGGCGGAAGCCUGAUGCAGCAACGCCGCGGGCGGGAUGACGGCCUUCGGGUUGUAAACCGCUUUCGCCUGUGACGAAGCGUGAGUGACGGUAAUGGGUAAAGAAGCACCGGCUAACUACGUG